rnacentral:lncRNA from 1 species
GAAAACUUUGUUUACUAAAUUUGCAAUCAAUGUUCAAAUGUUUUGGGAAAUCUAAAAAUUGUGAAACUCACGGCUUGCUAUUUUUAGCUGUCGAAGCAGUCAGAGAAUGUUUAGAGGAAAGUUGAUUCUUUGAAAAUGAAUUAAUCAUUACCAAAAAACCAAACAGUUGUGAAUAUUUGUGCCCACACUCAAAAGCUCUUCUGAAAUUAAAAGAUUUUAGAAGUUCCCGUGGUGGCACAGUAUCUACUAGGAUGCAGGUUCCAUCCCUGGCCUCAUUAAAUGGGUCUGGGAUCCGGCGUUGCCGUGAGCUGUUGUGUAGGUCACGGACGAGGCUCAGAUCCUGUGUUGCUGUGGCUGUGGUAUAGGCAGGCAGCUGUAGUUCUGAUUUGACCCCUAGCCUGGGAACCUUCAUAUGCUGCAGGUGCGGCCCUAGAAAAGGCAACAAACAAACAAACAAAUAAAUAAAUAAAUAAAUAAAAUAAGUUAGACCCUUCCCUUAUACAUUAUACAUAAGUGGACCCAAAUUAAAUUAAGGACCUAGAACUGAGAUCUAAACCUCUUAGAAGAGAGCUUUUCUGAGGGGAAACGCUUCAUGACAGUGGAUCUGGCGACAAUUUCUUGAUAUGACCGCAAACACGUGGGCAACCAAAGGAAGAAGGAAUCGGGUUUCAGCAACAUUAAAAGUUUUUGUGCAUCGAAGGACACACUCGAUAGUGUCAGUCUAUGGAGUGGGAGAAAUAUUUGCAAAUCGUGUAUCUAAUAAGGGGUUAAUAGCCGGGACAUAGAAAGAACUGCUACAGCUCAACGACAACAAAAAAACAAACAAGCAGAUUUUAAAAAUGGGCCCAGGACUUGAAUAGACAUUUCUUCAAGGAAGAUAUUCAUGUACAUAUAUAAGAUAUAUGUAUGAAAAGAUGCUUGAGGAGUUCCCAUGGUGGUGCAGUGGCAACAAUCCCGACCAGUAUCCAUGAGGACUUAAGUUCAAUCCCUGGCCUUGCUCAGUGGGUUAAGGAUCUGGCAUGGCCAUGGGGAGCUGUGGUGUAGAUCACCGAUGCGGCUUGGAACCUGAGUUGCUGUGGCUGUGGUGUAGGCCAGUGGCUAGAGCUCUGAUUCAGCCCGUAGCUUGGGAACUUCCAUUUGCCUCACAUUCGGCCAUAAAAAGCAAAAAUAAAAGAAAAA